UACAGAGGAUGCAAGCGUUAUCCGGAAUGAUUGGGCGUAAAGCGUGUGUAGGCGGCUUUUUAAGUCCGCCGUCAAAUCCCAGGGCUCAACUCUGGACAGGCGGUGGAAACUACCAAGCUGGAGUACGGUAGGGGCAGAGGGAAUUUCCGGUGGAGCGGUGAAAUGCGUAGAGAUCGGAAAGAACACCAACGGCGAAAGCGCUCUGCUGGGCCGACACUGACGCUGAGAGACGAAAGCUAGGGGAGCGAAUGGG
rnacentral:rRNA from 1 species